rnacentral:tRNA from 1 species
CUAAAGCUAGUUUAAUUAAAAAUAAGCGUUUUGGGAACGCUAGUCCCUUAUUUGCUUAAGGGCUUUAGA